UCUGGUAAGCUCCCAUCAUGUCAGCUGUUGGCGUAGGUGGUGUUGGUGAGAUGCGGGGCCUGGAAUUCACUGGACGCUCUGGUGCAGAGUCUGAACAGAAGCGGAUGACAAGACCCAAGGAGCUGGAGGAGCCACACAACUGAAAGGGAUGAGGUUCCUGAAUCACUACACGGAGGGAAGCACCCACUGAUUAGAAACAUCUGCCUGUUUCAUAAGGAUAAGUAAAGAGGGAAUGGAUGCCACAUGGUGCAGCUGCCUAAAAGCUAAGAAGGGGUCAUGGGGUAACAGGAAAUGCCAAAGAAAAACAAUAAUUGGCAUAAAGAUUGAGGCCCAGAAGAGGAAAAGGAAGUGACAAAGAUCACCCAGAAAGAGGGUUCCAACUGCAGCUUGACUUCAGGUGAUGUAGCUCCCACCUGGCCAGGUAUCUUUUCCAGUAUACCAACAUAACUAGAGAAAUUUUUAUGCCUUAACUCAGUCACCAUAAAGACUCAAUGGAAUUGAGUGUUUUAGAAAAAAAAAAAGUCAUAUUUUAUCACCCCAAGCUUGAUUUACAAUGGCUUCUGACUGACUCUCUCUUUCGAACACAGACCUUUAGCAACCAAGAUUUCACAUAGCACACAGACACUCUCUCACGACACCUUGAGGGGUUGUAGUAGCUCCUUUAGGGUCUGCCUGAGCUGCGGAGAACCACCCGGCCUGAGGUUAUGCCCUUCCUGGGUUAGUGGGCACUUGAGUGAGGGACGGUACGAAGGACUGGUCAUUGUGCCCUAAUUGGAGCCAUUGAGAGAGCAGCGCUCACUCCAGAGCUCCCUGCCAGAUUGGCCUUGUCUCUCUUGGGCUGCACCAGAGUUCAGCUCCUUCCUGUGCUCAAUUCUGUUUCCUUCUGAGUAUCACAGAUGUUGAUUCUUAAAAAAAUCUUGUACCCUGAACUUGAUAGCAACAUCUCCUUUAGGAGAGCCUAAAAGAGGGGUCAAAGGCAGCUAUGGUGGUGUGGAAGGGAAGGAAGGACGACAGCCAUGGUAAUUAACUUUGAAGGGAAGGAUGUCAACCGUGGUAAUUAACUUUGCUAAGGGGAGCACAUUGGGGGAAACUGAGGUGUGUGUCAACCAAAUGCAAGCUUUUAAAAGAAGCCUUGGCAGACAGAAGUGCAGGAGGCUCCUAAACAUUUAAAUCACCUUUUCCUAUUGAUUAAGGUAAAUACUUUACUGAUGCUGUUAGUCAAUACCCCUAUAAAUCCUCGACGUGUGAUAGCUUUACUGUGUAUUUAAUGUUUCUGUCUUUAAUUGAAUUACAUCCCCCUCAGCCCAAAAUGAUGAACUGAAAGUUAGAAAUCAUGUUGGCUCUGACAAAAAUGGGGCAUGUUUAUUUUCUUUGUUUAAUUUGAAGAACUAAACCCUUUGAAUGUAAGUCAGCAAGCCUGACUUUGUCAACAGUGGUUGGCCUCAUCUCUUUACCUCACUGGGCCUCAGUUUUCUCACCCAGAGAUGGAGAAAAUGGAGACUUUGCCCAUGUAAGGUAACAGCUUGGAAAGCCAGGAGGCCAUAAGGGAGCCUCAUUAUAAAUGCCUCAAAGCAGGGCUCUGUACAAAAAUUUUCCAGAAUCUUCUGUGGCACCCGCAGGGAGUGGACACAGUGGUCCUGGAACCUGUUAAUUCCUUCUGCCACCCUCUUUCUGCACUGCCACCAUCUGAUUGAUUUGCCCACUUAGACAGCUGAGUGUAAAUAUCUACCUGUCAAUCACCCCAUUAUGCUAAGUGCCCAGCCGGCCCUGAACGGUGAUUUACACUCUCCAGUGGAUGGCUCUGGUCCUUGGCAGCUGUGCUGUGUGCACAGUAGGGAGAGUAAAGUACAGCAGGUUACAUUCCCAGGGUCUCCACCCUAGACCCUCAGGGACAUGGUCUUUUCCCGAAGAGAGGUCUGACUGAAGGGUAGGAAGCAUUCUGAGAUCCUCUUUUCACCCCAUCCUUGCUGAGGGUGGGGAGUGACCUUCAGUGAACCUCAGAGUCUAAAGGAACUAAUUUCUUCCUACAGAGGAGAAGGAUCUACAACAGUGGUCCUCAAAUGAAUGCCACUUUGCUCCCCAGGGGACAUUUGGCAAUGUCAAGAGACGUUUUUGCAGGUCACGACUAGGGGCGAGCCCCCAGCAUCUUGUGGGUGGCGUCUAGCGAUGCUGCUGAACACUCUAAAAUGUACAGGACAGGCCCCCAGACAAAGAAUUGUGAGGUCCAAAGUGUCAAUAAUGCCACUAUCAAGAAACUCGGAUAUACAGGGAAGAGAGAAUGUUAAUCAAAAUGGGGUACUAGAUGACUCAAAGAAACUUCCACAGGUAUGUGAUGAUUUGUUGCAAGACUACUGUGGGAAAAGCAGGAGUUUGGGGAGAUGGAUAAGCGUGGUGGUGGUCUUUGGAAAUGGAACAGCUAGUCAGGAUUUCCCAGUGCUGAUGCAGUUGUAUAUAACCCUCAGUUUACAGAGAUGGGUUCUAAGGCUCAGAUGGUGGCUAAUAUAUAGAAUUGGGAUCCUUGUCUCUUGAAAAGCACAUCAGGGCUCUUUUCAACAUCAGAGAUAGGCAAUCAUUUUAAGAGAUUAACCGGCAGCAGCUUUCCAGUGCGUGUGCCCAGCAGGCACCUGAACCUAGCAGAAAAGAGUGCUGGGAUUGAUUUGUGAUGUCUGCCAUGGAUGCAGGAAAGAGGAAUGAUGGCACUUGGGAAACAUAUUUACCUUCCUUGUAUUCACCAUUUUUCUUAGCCUCAACUAUCCAUAGAGAAAUAUAUUUAAGGCCAUUUAAAAACAUAUUUAGAAUCUUGUUUGGCUGCAUUAAAAGAGAUGCUUUUAACAUACUCUUCUGAAAAAUAAAAUUAUCCAAUUUUUAGUAAUGCAUGCUUGUUG